rnacentral:rRNA from 1 species
CACACGACUCUCGGCAACGGAUAUCUCGGCUCUCGCAUCGAUGAAGAACGUAGCAAAAUGCGAUACCUGGUGUGAAUUGCAGAAUCCCGCGAACCAUCGAGUUUUUGAAUGCAAGUUGCGCCCGAGGCCUUCUGGUUGAGGGCACGCCUGCCUGGGCGUCACGC